UACGUAGGGGGCAAGCGUUGUCCGGAUUCAUUGGGCGUAAAGAGCGUGUAGGCGGCCAGGUAGGUCGGUUGUGAAAACUCGAGGCUCAACCUCGAGAUGUCGAUGGAAACCGUCUGGCUAGAGUCCGGAAGAGGAGUGUGGAAUUCCUGGUGUAGCGGUGAAAUGCGCAGAUAUCAGGAAGAACACCUAUGGCGAAGGCAGCACUCUGGGACGGUACUGACGCUGAGACGCGAAAGCGUGGGGAGCGAACAGG
rnacentral:rRNA from 1 species